rnacentral:lncRNA from 1 species
GUCUUACUCUCCCUUUUAAAAUAUUUUAAUUCACACUUUAAAAGUUAAGAUGGUAUGGAACUUUCCUAGGUUCAUUAUGAAGGAAUCUAGUCUUGUCUUUAUCUUGUGUCUUGUGCCUUCAGGAUCUGAUUGCUGUCUAGAGGCAUGGUCUUGACUCUGCUCUCCCCUGGUCUUUCAGGGUAAAGGUGGCAGUAAUGCUAACGCUGGCAAGCAAGCUGAAGCGGGAUGACGGUCUCAAAGGGUCCCGGACGUCAGCCACCAUGUCUGACUCCACUCGGAGGGUCUCGGUGAGAGACAAGUUGCUUGUCAAAGGUAAGCAGCAUCCUGGAAGCUGAUUCUACAUGCUGUCGCCAAGUGAAGCUUGCUGGAGACACUUCUCUGCUGCUGAAUGGAAACACUUGUUCAAAAAGAUUUUAGGGAAAUACUUAUACCUCGCAGAUGAUAAUGGGAGGAUCUCAGAGACUAUGGUGCCUUAUGCACUGGCAGUGUUUUUUGGGGGCUUGCCAGUGUGCUAGCAGAAGGAAUAAGGUGCUAGGAGUCAGUAGGCCUAAGACCUGUUGUGUG